rnacentral:rRNA from 1 species
CAAGGAUUCCCCUAGUAACUGCGAGUGAAGCGGGAAAAGCUCAAAUUUAAAAUCUGGCGGUCUUUGGCUGUCCGAGUUGUAAUCUAGAGAAGUAUUAUCCGCGCUGGACCGUGUACAAGUCUCCUGGAAUGGAGCGUCAUAGAGGGUGAGAAUCCCGUCUUUGACACGGACUGCCAGGGCUUUGUGAUAUGCUCUCAAAGAGUCGAGUUGUUUGGGAAUGCAGCUCAAAAUGGGUGGUAAAUUCCAUCUAAAGCUAAAUAUUGGCGAGAGACCGAUAGCGAACAAGUACCGUGAGGGAAAGAUGAAAAGAACUUUGGAAAGAGAGUUAAACAGUACGUGAAAUUGCUGAAAGGGAAACGCUUGAAGUCAGUCGCGUUGGCCAGGGAUCAACCUUGCUUUUUUGCUUGGCUUACUUUCUGGUCGAUGGGUCAGCAUCAAUUUUGACCGGUGGAAAAAGUUCAAAGGAAUGUGGCAUCUUCGGAUGUGUUAUAGCCUUUGUUCACAUACAUUGGUUGGGAUUGAGGAACUCAGCACGCCGCAAGGCCGGGUUUUUAACCACGUACGUGCUUAGGAUGCUGGCAUAAUGGCUUUAAUCGACCCGUCUUGAAACACGGACCAAGGAGUCUAACAUGCCUGCGAGUAUUUGGGUGAAAAACCCGAGUGCGUAAUGAAAGUGAAAGUUGAGAUCCCUGUCGUGGGGAGCAUUGACGCCCGGAUCUGACCUUUUGUGACGAUUCUGCGGUAGAGCAUGUAUGUUGGGACCCGAAAGAUGGUGAACUAUGCCUGAAUAGGGUGAAGCCAGAGGAAACUCUGGUGGAGGCUCGUAGCGAUUCUGACGUGCAAAUCGAUCGUCAAAUUUGGGUAUAGGGGCGAAAGACUAAUCGAACCAUCUAGUAGCUGGU